rnacentral:rRNA from 1 species
UGCCAGCAGCCGCGGUAAUACGUAGGGAGCAAGCGUUAUCCGGAUUUACUGGGUGUAAAGGGCGUGUAGGCGGGACUGCAAGUCAGAUGUGAAAACUAUGGGCUCAACUCAUAGCCUGCAUUUGAAACUGUAGUUCUUGAGUGGUGGAGAGGCAAAUGGAAUUCCUAGUGUAGCGGUGAAAUGCGUAGAUAUUAGGAAGAACACCAGUGGCGAAGGCGAUUUGCUGGACACUAACUGACGCUGAGGCGCGAAAGCGUGGGGAGCAAACAGGAUUAGAUA